AAGAAGUCAUGUUCAUUAUUGAUGCUACUAAAAAGGAUAAACAAAACAAAACUAGAAAGGAGGAUGAAAGUCAUAUAAAUUUUCUCUUAGAGAUUCAUAAUUCAUAAAAGUAUAUGCAAUGGUCUGUAACACUAUUAGUUGUCAUGAUCUGCACAGCUGUUUAUUCAGGUUGCCUAACUAGGAGGUGAAGGGCUUGAGAAAAGACAAACAAAUACACAAAUAGAGAAAAAGCCGGGACACAGUACUUCAGUCAACCUCUGAUGGGGGAAGACUAACCAUGAGCAAGCGUGACAUAUUUACUAUAUAUGUAUGUUUAAACAUCAAAAGGAUUUAUUGUUAGAAAGUUUUUUCAAAGCAAGCAGAAUCAAGGUCAUGAGUAUGAGCAGCCUGAUUAUGAGUAUCAGCUUGUGCCCAUAACUUUCUACCUCCCCAAGCAGUGGGCAUCUAAACCUCAAGGAUAAAAACUGAAGAGCUUCAUGGUUGGCACAGAACCUCCAAUUGAACAGGGCAUCACCAUAGCAACUGGGCUAUCUCAAUGAAUGGCGUCACACUGAGAGUUCUCCAGAGGGGCAUCAUCGCCUCUGUCACAGGACAGUUCAGGACCCAUAAUUAAGUCGCUGCUCCCAACAAUGAGUAUAUCUUUUUAAAGAAGUUUAACAUCAAUGUAGCAUUUCCAAAACUCAUGUGGGAGAGGAAUUUAACUGGAUGUUCCUCUUUUAUUAAAGAAGUUUACUUUUAUUUAAAAAACCAUUGAUGCAACACAAAAGUAAUACAAUGUUUUAAAAAAUAGCAAGAUAAAUAUUACUUCAUACAAAAGGUCUCAGUCAAAAAUCUUUUAAAACAGAUUUUUCAUUAGUAUAUUGAAGGAAAUACACUUCAGGAUUAAGAUAAUCAUAUUAUUUUUAAAUCAACAGAAAAUUCUACAUACUUCUGAGGUACCAUAUGAAGAUUAAAUGUAUGUAUAUAUUGUGUGAUGUUCAAAUAAAGGUAAACAGAUCUAUUUCAUCA
rnacentral:lncRNA from 1 species